GUUGCUAAAAUCUUGGAGGAUUUAUUCCUCUAUAACAUCUCUCCUCCAGCAGGAUUACGAAGAUUUGUUUACCUUCUUCCUGUCCUCGGUCAACUCCACUCCCACUCCUCCCCAGCCUGGCCCCGCCCCAGCCAACGCUAAGGCUAUACGUAAACAUCCGAACCCUGCAUCGGCUUCAACCUCGUCAGACAAGGGCCCCACGUCGUUCCACCUACAGCCCAGGACCCGGCACUCGUGGAGAUUAAAGAGUCCAUUAACAUACUGGAGAACAGAAUCGUUGCUCUGGAACAUACUAGCUCACAACCUACAUCUGCAGUUAAUGUAUGCUCCUCUGCUAUCCCGCUAGACCUCCCGCAAGUCACUUUGAAUGACAUCUCCACCUGCAUUCAUUCUACUUGCAGCUGCUAUUCAAACAAAUCUGAGAAGCCAUAUUAUAGCAGGUAUUCUGUACUGCUCGAUCGGGAGCAGCCCGCGGAGUGUUGGUUCCCCGCAACUCCAACCAGCUGGCCCAGGCAUUACACUUGCACUUGCGACAGCGGAUUCAACCACCUGAGGGGGAGAGCAAAGAGACAUUGGGGACACCGGCAGCAGGGAAACCCCCCGAUCUUGAUCCUGGCGCAGCUCAAGCAGGGCCUGAUGUUGAGCAUGUUGCAUGCUGGCGAGGGACUGUAUAACUUCCGCCAAUGGUGAGGACUCCAUACCGAUGUGUAUUUCCUCCAAACUCCAUGGUUUCGGCACCAGUGUAAUGGAGUAAAGGAGGAAACGGGAAAAUUGGCUUCAACUCAAAGCAGCUCUGUGGCCUCAAUCCCAAAUUCUACACUUCACACUCCUUCAGAAUUGGAGCAGCCACCACAACCGCACCCAAAAUGCCUACCGCUACCCUCAAGAACAUGGGAUGUUGGUCAUCAGCAGAUUUUAAAUGUUAAAUUAGACACAAUUCUAAAGACAUCAUCGACGCUCAAAAGUUGAUGAGUUCUUAACAUGUGUAGUACCAUCUAAUAAAUAUCUAACUUGCUCAGGUGGUUGCUGGGUUGAAUCAUGGCGAUAUUAUUCACUUUUGUCAGCCAUUCCAGAUUCUACCAUCUAAUCCACUACGAUUUGAACAUUUCAUUUUCAGUGAUCGACAUUAAUCAUGCAGAAUUCUCUCAACAUCGUACUGAGUCACGUUGCAAGUUCUUUUAUUCAGUUAUUUCCCCAGCGAUAGUCUUAGAAGUGACUUAUGUAUCAGCUCAAUUCAACUCUUUCCAAUUUGCUCAUCGGCUUGCAAAGUACCUAGAAGUGCUUUUUUCUGGUUAAGCCUUAGCUAAGCUCAGAAAGGCUCACAAGUCUGUCUAGUUCACUAAUUAAAUAAACAGGCUUUCGCCAAGUACACAUAGCUGUCUAGUCACUAGUUAAGUAAUCCUCUGGGUCAUUCCAGUCCAAGCACAUUUUCUAGUCAGGACACUAGUUCUAGCAUUCGGCCAGCUGGCCAUACACAUAGUAAGCCAUUAGCGUAAGCCAUUCGGCCAAGCUGGCCCAGGCACACAUAGUUAGUAUACAUCGAUUAACAUGGCUCUCCGGAGCAGCAGCAGUACAUAAGUCUUGGCGAGUAUGUCUGCACUGUUGGGGGGAGGGGUUUAUGCUUAUUUGCAUUCAACCGUUUUGUUGUAGGGGGUCAUCUCUAAGCCUCACUUGCUUGUAGCAGCAGCAGCAUAGCCUCCAUGCUUAACCUUGUAUGUCUGAGUACGUCUAGCAGUAGCAAGUCCUCGUACUUGCUCUGCAGCAGCAGCAUGUCUUCCAUGUUUCACUCCUAGCAGCAGCAAGUCCUCGUACUUGAUCUGCAGCAGUGUAGCAGAUCUAGUCUGCCAAAACCACACUUAUUAACUCAUCCUUUACAUUAAUAAAUGCAUUCUAAAACCAUUUCCGUGAGUUGUCAUGAUUGAAAUGUAAUCAAGUUCAGUCAUGAAACUUAAUUUGCUGCAGCUGAUAGACCCUCUCAUCAUAAUCACAGUAACCAAUCAGUUGCUUGCAUUCAUUACGUCAACGCUUUAAAUUCAUCAUACCUCAGUCAGUUUCCAUUGCCGGUCUCUGCACGCUAUGAGAGUUCUCCUCACUAACCCUCCUCCUCCCCAGCUCCACAGUCUAAAUCUGAUAAGGGGUCAUCUCUAAGCCUCACUUGCUUAUAGCAACAGCAGCAUAGCAUGCUUCACCUUGUAUGUCUGAAUAUGUCUAGCAAGUCCUCGUACUUGCUCUGCAACAGAAGCAGCAUGACUUCCAUGUUUCACUCCUAGCAGCAUCAAGUCCUUGUACUUGCUCUGCAGCAGCGGCAGCAGCAACAGCAUGUCUUUCAUGUUUCACUCCUAGCAGCAUCAAGUCCUUGUACUUGCUCUGCAGCAGCAGCAGCACCAGCAACAGCAUGUCUUUCAUGUUUCACUCCUAGCAGCAUCAAGUCCUUGUACUUGCUCUGCAGCAGCGGCAGCAGCAACAGCAUGUCUUUCAUGUUUCACUCCUAGCAGCAUCAAGUUCUUGUACUUGCUCUGCAGCAGCAGUGUAGCAGAUCAAGUCUGCAAAGACCAGACUUAUUAACUCAUCAUUUCCAUUAAUAAAUGCAUUCUAAAACCAUAUCCGUGAGUUGUCAUGACUGAUGUUCAGUUAUUCCAAGCAAAGACUAAUUUAAAAUAAUAUUUUUGGGUUAAAUUUUCAUCAUUCCAGCUCCUCCUUGGUCUGUCCGUCACCUGGCUCUGCCUUGGCUCCCCAAUCCUCUGGCUACGCCUUGUCUCUCCGAUCCUUCAGCUCCACCAGGGACCUCCAUCCCUACGAGCCGCCUUGGUCCUCAGCCCCACCGGCUCUGCCUAAGUCUUCCGAUCCCCCAGCUCCACCUUGCUCCUCCGAGCUUCCAGUGCUGCCUUGAUCCUCCCUGCCUCCAGCUCCACCCUGGCCCUUCCAGCUGUUGGCUACUCUCCGGGUACCAAGUUCCCUGGUGUCGCCCUUCAAGUCUUUCACAGCUCCGCCUUCCAUGGCUCCACCCCUCAAGUCUCUCAAAGCUCCACCCCUCCAGUCUCUCAUGGCUCCACCUUCCACAGACGUUGCCCUGAUCCCAUGCUCCACACCCUGCCAAGCCAUGCCUCAAGACACCAACCCCCCCAGCUCCCUACAGAACUUUGGGAUUAUGACAUGUUUAAUGUGUUUGUUCAUAUGUUGGGGCAUCGGGAGCCGCCCCUAGUGGGGGGGAUAUGUCAUGUGUAUUUUGUUGGUUCAUGUUUUUCAUGUCUUUUAUUUUGAAAUUCUAGUUCCUGUUUCAUGUCAUGUGGUUCCCUUAUCAUGUGAUUUCAUGUUUCCCUCCUUGUUCAUGUGUCUUGUUUUCAUUGGUUUACUGCCUUGUUAUCUUGUUUAGAGUUCUUAGUGUUUAUUGGUUAUCUUUGUCAUGUGUUCUACCAUGUCAUGCAUUUAAGCCUCAUGUUUGCCAUUGUCCAUUGUCAGGUAUUGUGUGUGAAUGUGACUUUGUUAAAUUAGUCAAGCUUGUCAAGUCAUGUUAUAGUCAAGUUCAUGUUUGUAUUUUGUUCACGUUUGUAGUUAGGGUUUUUGGAUUUCACAUUUGGAAUAAAACUGCACUUGGGUUCAUCACACGUCAUCGUCUAUGUCAUUGCCAGCGCCAGCAAUGUUACAAUAGGUUUUUAAAAAUCAAAACAGUAAGAGAACUGAGGCACAAAAAUUCAUUGAAUAUUCAAUGAAAAUAUUCCCAAAAUGGAAAAGGUAAUUAAAAAAUUAUUAAAACAUUGUUUUGGCCAACAAAUACUAUAAUUGUAAAUGUUAUACAUUUAAGCCAUUUAAAACACAUGUAACAACCUGGUCUUAUAAAAAUGUGACAUGACCCAAAAAGAACACAUUUAAAUCCAUCUUCAUAAUAUAGCUGACCCUUUCUUUAAUGUAUGCCAGUGUGGUUUGAUUAUGUUUGCUUGUUAAU